rnacentral:rRNA from 1 species
CAGUCGAACGAUGAAGAAGAGCUUGCUCUUCGGAUUAGUGGCGAACGGGUGAGUAACACGUGACUAACCUGCCCCUUUCUCUGGGAUAACGCUCCGAAAGGAGUGCUAAUACCGGAUACUCACAUCGAGGCACAUGCCUUGAUGUGGAAAGUUUUUCGGAAAGGGAUGGAGUCGCGGCCUAUCAGCUUGUUGGUGAGGUAACGGCUCACCAAGGCGACGACGGGUAGCCGGCCUGAGAGGGCGACCGGCCACACUGGGACUGAGACACGGCCCAGACUCCUACGGGAGGCAGCAGUGGGGAAUAUUGCACAAUGGGCGAAAGCCUGAUGCAGCGACGCCGCGUGAGGGAUGAAGGUCUUCGGAUUGUAAACCUCUUUCAGUAGGGACGAAGCGAAAGUGACGGUACCUAAAGAAGAAGCACCGGCUAACUACGUGCCAGCAGCCGCGGUAAUACGUAGGGUGCAAGCGUUGUCCGGAUUUAUUGGGCGUAAAGAGCUCGUAGGCGGUUAGACACGUCGGAUGUGAAAACUGGUGGCUCAACCACCAGCCUGCAUUCGAUACGGUCUGACUUGAAUGUGGUAGGGGUAACUGGAAUUCCUGGUGUAGCGGUGAAAUGCGCAGAUAUCAGGAGGAACACCGAUGGCGAAGGCAGGUUACUGGGCCAAUAUUGACGCUGAGGAGCGAAAGCGUGGGGAGCGAACAGGAUUAGAUACCCUGGUAGUCCACGCCGUAAACGGUGGGCACUAGUUGUGGGAACCUUUCCAUGGUUUCUGCGAC